rnacentral:rRNA from 1 species
GACGAACGCUGGCGGCGUGCCUAACACAUGCAAGUCGAGCGGAGAUGUACUGAAGAUUUAUCGGAUGUACAUCUUAGCGGCGGACGGGUGAGUAACGCGUGGGCAACCUGCCUUCCACUGGGGGAUAACACAGGGAAACCUGUGCUAAUACCGCAUGACAUCACAUAGGGCAUCCUGUGUGAUCAAAGGAGUGAUCCGGUGGAAGAUGGGCCCGCGUCCGAUUAGCUAGUUGGUGAGGUAACGGCUCACCAAGGCGACGAUCGGUAGCCGGACUGAGAGGUUGGCCGGCCACAUUGGGACUGAGACACGGCCCAGACUCCUACGGGAGGCAGCAGUGGGGAAUAUUGCGCAAUGGGGGGAACCCUGACGCAGCGACGCCGCGUGAAGAAGAAGGCUCGGUGUAACUCUUGAUGAGGACGAAGGAAGUGACGGUACCUCAAAACAAGACCACGGCUAACUACGUGCCAGCAGCCGCGGUAAAGUCACGUCG